UGCGGUCAAAAAAAUCCAACGGAUUUUGAACGUUGGCUGUGCCAACGAUCCCAUUGGGCGAAUAAUCGAGCUUGAUUCGAUUGUGGGUAAUUUU
rnacentral:ncRNA from 1 species